CAACCUCUGGCGAGGUCCGUGUAUGUUG
rfam:Myroides profundi strain D25, complete genome.